UACGUAGGGGGCAAGCGUUGUUCGGAUUUACUGGGCGUAAAGGGCGCGUAGGCGGCUUGACAAGUCACUUGUGAAAUCUCCGGGCUUAACUCGGAACGGCCAAGUGAAACUGUCAUGCUAGAGUGCAGAAGGGGCAAUCGGAAUUCUUGGUGUAGCGGUGAAAUGCGUAGAUAUCAAGAGGAACACCUGAGGUGAAGACGGGUUGCUGGGCUGACACGUGACGCUGAGGCGCGAAAGCCAGGGGAGCAAACGGG
rnacentral:rRNA from 1 species